CGUGUAUAAAUUUAGCAAAGCGAUCCUAUCUCAAGAAAAAUCACAUAGAUGAUAACGUACAAAUCACAUUUACUGAAAAAUAUUUACCAAUAGUGGAAUGGUAGAAGAAUAGUUUCAAAGUUUCGAUUUAUUAUUUACUGUUGUGAUUUUCUUGAAUAACAUUGAUGUUAUUGUUUAGUGUCGUAAUUCGGAUUUUAAGUAUAAUACAAGUCCAAACAUAUACUCCAUAGACAUACUAUCACACAAAAAAAGUCAGAUAAACAUUCUUAACUUUUAUAUUGACUUAGCAGUUUUAUGCUUUUGUAGAUAUCUCGUGCAUUAGCACGGACACACACUAGUUUAUGAUUAUAAUAGAUCCCUUACAAAAAUAUUUAGUUAUUCAGAAUGAGAGUCUGGUUGGAUGGAAUUUGCAUGGAAUAGACAAAUGGAGUUGGGCUUAAGUUUCUUUAUCUGCAAUGAUGGACUAUCCGACAGUUUAUCAUUGCCAGUGUGGCCCAACGAAGUACCAUGAUUAUUUUUAAUUUUUGAACAUCAAAUAAUACUUCGUAUUUUCUAAUAUCUUAAAUUCUCAGGUCAAAGCCUCAAAGGGGCCAGGGAAAAAGGUCUUAUUAGCAACUCUCUCAAGCAAGUCAUCCUUCAAAAGAAAUGGUGAGGUUUGAACCUGUGACCUCAAAGUUACAAGAUGAGUUCUUUACCAUCUCCGACGAACUUACUUGAUUAACGUGGAAUGAAUAGGCAUCAAGUGGAAAUGACAUACGGAAUACUGUUGCAAUACACAAACUAGCAUAUGUAGGGCUGGUAUAGAUAGUUCUUGUCACCAAAUAUAGAACGCAAAUUAAUUCAUGUACCCGUGCUAGACUAAACCUUUCUUUUUGGUAGGUUAGUACCCGGAGUAAAGAAAAAGGGUAUUUCCUAUAUUAUGAAGGAAACAGAGAUUCGGAGAAGGACUAUACCAUUGAAUGAAUAUACAAACACCAAUAUCAAUGUAAUCCAUCUGUUGAAACUGAUUUCACAUCUCAAAAGAGCUAAUUGAAAGAGUGAAAGAUGAAACUAACCAGUAUAAAUAUUUAUAUAUAUCGAUUUCUUUAUUCUCUGUCCGCGCUCUGGAUUCAUUUGAAUCAAGAAAAAUCCGUGUCAAGUGGAAGACUAAGAAUCAUAAUGGUAUUGAAGUGCAUUGCCUCGGAUGAAAAUUUUCUUCUGAUAAUAACUUUGUGACAAGGUGUUUGAGCCUCUCUGCACCGGGACCUGGUCUAAGUUCAGCAGUGCUAUUUACCACUGCAGAAGAUAAAGAACCGACUGUACUGUUUGCGUUUUCUCUGACUAACCAUUUUCCAGGCACAAAUCCAUUGGCAUCACAACCCAAAAGCUCAGAAUCGAUCUUAU